rnacentral:rRNA from 1 species
GGUGGAGUGAUUUGUCUGGUUUAUUCCGAUAACGAACGAGACUCUAACCUGCUAAAUAGCUUGUCGGUAGCUUCGCCGACGUAGCUUCUUAGAGGGAUCAGUGGUGUUUAGCCACACGAAAUUGAGCAAUAACAGGUCUGUGAUGCCCUUAGAUGUUCGGGGCUGCACGCGCGCUACACUGGAAGGAUCAACAUGCGUACAAUCCUCGCUCGAAAGGGCUUGGUAAUCCUUUGAAAACCUUCCGUGAUUGGGAUAGGGAAUUGCAAUUAUUUCCCUUCAACGAGGAAUUCCCAGUAAGUGUGAGUCAUCAGCUCACGUUGAAUACGUCCCUGCCCUUUGUAC